rnacentral:tRNA from 1 species
GCCUGGGUGGCUCAGUCGGUUAAGCAUCCGACUUCGGCUCAGGUCAUGCAUGAUCUCACAGUCUGUGGGUUCAAGCCCCGCAUCGGGCU